rnacentral:rRNA from 1 species
AUUUAUAGCUUGCUAUAAAGAAUAGUUAGUGGCAGACGGGUGAGUAAUGCAUAGGAAUCUACCUAGUAGUAUGGGAUAGCCACUAGAAAUGGUGGGUAAUACUGUAUAAUCCCUGCGGGGGAAAGAUUUAUCGCUAUUAGAUGAGCCUAUGUUAGAUUAGCUAGUUGGUAGGGUAAAGGCCUACCAAGGCGAUGAUCUAUAGCUGGUCUGAGAGGAUGAUCAGCCACACUGGAACUGAGAUACGGUCCAGACUCCUACGGGAGGCAGCAGUGGGGAAUAUUGGACAAUGGGCGCAAGCCUGAUCCAGCUAUGCCGCGUGAGUGAGGAAGGCCUUAGGGUUGUAAAACUCUUUCAGUAGGGAAGAUAAUGACGGUACCUACAGAAGAAGUCCCGGCAAACUCCGUGCCAGCAGCCGCGGUAAUACGGAGGGGGCAAGCGUUGUUCGGAAUUAUUGGGCGUAAAGGGCAUGUAGGCGGUUCGGUAAGUUAAAGGUGAAAUGCCAGGGCUUAACCCUGGAGCUGCUUUAAAUAACUGCAAAA